GAUGAACGCUGGCGGCGUGCCUAAUACAUGCAAGUCGAGCGAACAGACGAGGAGCUUGCUCCUCUGACGUUAGCGGCGGACGGGUGAGUAACACGUGGAUAACCUACCUAUAAGACUGGGAUAACUUCGGGAAACCGGAGCUAAUACCGGAUAAUAUAUUGAACCGCAUGGUUCAAUAGUGAAAGACGGUUUUGCUGUCACUUAUAGAUGGAUCCGCGCCGCAUUAGCUAGUUGGUAAGGUAACGGCUUACCAAGGCAACGAUGCGUAGCCGACCUGAGAGGGUUAUCGGCCACACUGGAACUGAGACACGGUCCAGACUCCUACGGGAGGCAGCAGUAGGGAAUCUUCCGCAAUGGGCGAAAGCUUGACGGAGCAACGCCGCGUGAGUGAUGAAGGUCUUCGGAUCGUAAAACUCUGUUAUUAGGGAAGAACAAAUGUGUAAGUAACUAUGCACGUCUUGACGGUACCUAAUCAGAAAGCCACGGCUAACUACGUG
rnacentral:rRNA from 1 species